UGCAAGUCGAGGGGUAACGGAAGUAGCUUGCUACUAGACGACGACCGGCGCACGGGUGAGUAACGCGUAUGUAAUCUGCCUUGUACAGAGGGAUAGCCCAGAGAAAUUUGGAUUAAUACCUCAUAGUAUUACCGAAUCGCAUGAUUUGGUAAUUAAAGCUCCGGCGGUACAAGAUGAACAUGCGUGACAUUAGCUAGUUGGUAAGGUAACGGCUUACCAAGGCUACGAUGUCUAGGGGUUCUGAGAGGAUGAUCCCCCACACUGGUACUGAGACACGGACCAGACUCCUACGGGAGGCAGCAGUGAGGAAUAUUGGUCAAUGGACGCAAGUCUGAACCAGCCAUCCCGCGUGAAGGAUGACUGCCCUAUGGGUUGUAAACUUCUUUUAUAUGCAAAUAAACCUACUUUCGUGAAAGUAGCUGAAGGUAGCAUAUGAAUAAACACCGGCUAACUCCGUGCCAGCAGCCGCGGUAAUACGGAGGGUGUAAGCGUUAUCCGGAUUUAUUGGG
rnacentral:rRNA from 1 species